rnacentral:rRNA from 1 species
UAAUACGGAGGGUGCGAGCGUUAAUCGGAAUUACUGGGCGUAAAGCGCAUGCAGGUGGUUUGUUAAGUCAGAUGUGAAAGCCCGGGGCUCAACCUCGGAAUUGCAUUUGAAACUGGCAGACUAGAGUACUGUAGAGGGGGGUAGAAUUUCAGGUGUAGCGGUGAAAUGCGUAGAGAUCUGAAGGAAUACCGGUGGCGAAGGCGGCCCCCUGGACAGAUACUGACACUCAGAUGCGAAAGCGUGGGGAGCAAACAGGAUUAGAUACCCUGGUAGUCCACGCCGUAAACGAUGUCUACUUGGAGGUUGUGGCCUUGAGCCGUGGCUUUCGGAGCUAACGCGUUAAGUAGACCGCCUGGGGAGUACGGUCGCAAGAUUAAAACUCAAAUGAAUUGACGGGGGCCCGCACAAGCGGUGGAGCAUGUGGUUUAAUUCGAUGCAACGCGAAGAACCUUACCUACUCUUGACAUCCAGAGAACUUUCCAGAGAUGGAUUGGUGCCUUCGGGAACUCUGAGACAGGUGCUGCAUGGCUGUCGUCAGCUCGUGUUGUGAAAUGUUGGGUUAAGUCCCGCAACGAGCGCAACCCUUAUCCUUGUUUGCCAGCACUUCGGGUGGGAACUCCAGGGAGACUGCCGGUGAUAAACCGGAGGAAGGUGGGGACGACGUCAAGUCAUCAUGGCCCUUACGAGUAGGGCUACACACGUGCUACAAUGGCGCAUACAGAGGGCGGCCAACUUGCGAAAGUGAGCGAAUCCCAAAAAGUGCGUCGUAGUCCGGAUCGGAGUCUGCAACUCGACUCCGUGAAGUCGGAAUCGCUAGUAAUCGUGGAUCAGAAUGCCACGGUGAAUACGUUCCCGGGCCUUGUACACACCGCCCGUCACACCAUGGGAGUGGGCUGCAAAAGAAGUGGGUAGUUUAACCUUCGGGAGGACGCUCACCACUUUGUGGUUCAUGACUGGGGUGAAGUCGUAACAAGGUAGCCG